CCUACGGGAGGCAGCAGUAAGGAAUAUUGGUCAAUGGACGCAAGUCUGAACCAGCCAUGCCGCGUGAAGGAUUAAGGUCCUCUGGAUUGUAAACUUCUUUUAUCUGGGACGAAAAAAGGCGAUUCUUCGUCACUUGACGGUACCAGAUGAAUAAGCACCGGCUAACUCCGUGCCAGCAGCCGCGGUAAUACGGAGGGUGCAAGCGUUAUCCGGAUUCACUGGGUUUAAAGGGUGCGUAGGCGGGCAGGUAAGUCAGUGGUGAAAUCCUAGAGCUUAACUCUAGAACUGCCAUUGAUACUAUCUGUCUUGAAUAUUGUGGAGGUAAGCGGAAUAUGUCAUGUAGCGGUGAAAUGCUUAGAUAUGACAUAGAACACCUAUUGCGAAGGCAGCUUACUACGCAUAUAUUGACGCUGAGGCACGAAAGCGUGGGGAUCAAACAGGAUUAGAUACCCUGGUAGUCCACGCCCUAAACGAUGAUUACUCGACAUUUGUGAUACACUAUAAAGUGUUNUGAGAGAAGANAUAAGUAAUACCACCACGGAAGUACGACCGACGAGUUAGUAACGUACGAAAGAAGUUAGACGGACGUUAGAGAGAGCCGACGGACGACGACGAGGGAGGAGG
rnacentral:rRNA from 1 species